GUACCGCCCUGGUAGUCGGAAGUGAUGACGUGGCACCAAGCUACAGUGUAGGCGUGUUGACAAGGCGCCAGAUCCGCAGAAGGGAAGGAAGUCGGGGGGCUCGUGUAGUCGCCAGUUAUUAAGUUGGCGUGCUCCGAUCUCCAGCAUACCAGGCGAUCGCCCAGUUGAAGAUGAAGUCGCCAGAUUGUAAACUCAGGCGACUAAGUGAUUGGAGAUCGCCAGAACAAGCACAUCGCCGAAGAUGAAGGUGGUGCAGAUUAUGAAGGCGGCCGGCGAGACCACAGGGAAGGUGUACGAGAGCACCCUAACUCGCCAAUCCCAGUAGAGAUCGCGCUCCCAAGUUAGCUAUGCACUGGGCAGUACCAUGCAUAAGUAACUUAGCCAAAAAGAGAGUCAGAAGCAGUGCCCAAGUCAAGAAGGCUCUAGAUGGUGGCACGUGUACGGCUGGAUGCGAGCCACGUGUCCAGGUCUGUAACUGCCAGGAGAGAGAAAGUGAC
rnacentral:lncRNA from 1 species